rnacentral:rRNA from 1 species
GACGAACGCUGGCGGCGUGCUUAACACAUGCAAGUCGAACGAAGGGCGAUGGAAGCUUGCUUCUAUCAAUCUUAGUGGCGAACGGGUGAGUAACGCGUAAUCAACCUGCCCUUCAGAGGGGGACAACAGUUGGAAACGACUGCUAAUACCGCAUACGAUCUAAUCUCGGCAUCGAGGAUAGAUGAAAGGUGGCCUCGACAUGUAAGCUAUCACUGAAGGAGGGGAUUGCGUCUGAUUAGCUAGUUGGAGGGGUAACGGCCCACCAAGGCGAUGAUCAGUAGCCGGUCUGAGAGGAUGAACGGCCACAUUGGGACUGAGACACGGCCCAGACUCCUACGGGAGGCAGCAGUGGGGAAUCUUCCGCAAUGGACGAAAGUCUGACGGAGCAACGCCGCGGGAGCGAUGACGGCCUUCGGGUUGUAAAGCUCUGUUAAUCGGGACGAAAGGCCUUCUUGCGAAUAGUGAGAAGGAUUGACGGUACCGGAAUAGAAAGCCACGGCUAACUACGUG